AUGGCUUGAUCCUCGCCGGACCUCACUGCUAUCGGGAUGGGACUAAGCACCGCAAGUUGUGCGUCUCAAGCUAUGAUGAGACGCGGCGUACGGCUCACUAACACGUGGCCAACCUACCCUUAGGACGGGAACAACCCCGGGAAACUGGGGCUAAUUCCAGAUAGGUGAGGAGGCCUGGAAUGGUUCUUCACCUAAAGGGCGUCGGAGUCAUGCUUCCCGAUGUUGCCUAAGGAUGGGGCCGCGGCCGAUCAGGUUGUUGGUGGGGUAACGGCCUACCAAGAGUUUAACCGGUACGGGCCGUUGGACCGGUAGCCCGCAGAUGGGCACUGAGAUAAGGGGACAGGCCCUACGGGGCGCAGCAUGCGCGACACCUCCCCCCGCGCAUAUCCGUGAUGUGGUU
rnacentral:rRNA from 1 species